AUGCUCCCGGGUACAAUGAGCUUCCUAAAGAGUUUCCCGCCGCCGGGCCAGGAUGAGGGGCUUCGGCAACAGCAGCCAGAUACAGAGGCUGUGCUGAACGGAAAGGGCCUCGGUAUCCGCACUCUUUACACCGCGGAGAGCCGCCUGUCUGGGUUAGAUGGUUCUGGAUUAGGAUUCUCACUGGAAUACCCCACCAUUAGUUUACAUGCGGUGUCCAGGGACCUAAAUGCUUAUCCUCGAGAGCAUUUGUAUGUUAUGGUGAAUGCCAAAUUUGGAGAAGAAUCAAAAGAAUCUCUUGCUGAUGAAGAGGAGGAAGACAGUGAUGAUGAUGUUGAACCUAUUACUGAAUUUAGAUUUGUGCCUAGUGAUAAAUCAGCAUUGGAGGUGAUGUUCACUGCAAUGUGUGAAUGCCAGGCUUUGCAUCCAGAUCCUGAGGACGAAGACUCAGAUGGUUAUGAUGGAGAAGAAUAUGAUGUGGAAGCACAUGAACAAGGGCAGGGGGAUAUUCCUACAUUUUAUACCUAUGAAGAAGGAUUAUCCCAUUUAACAGCAGAAGGGCAAGCUACACUGGAGAGAUUAGAAGGAAUGCUUUCUCAGUCUGUGAGCAGCCAGUAUAACAUGGCUGGGGUCCGGCGGGAAGAUUCAAUAAAAGAUUAUGAAGAUGGSWUGGARGUAGAUACCACACCAGCAGUUGCUGGACAGUUUGAGGAUGCGGAUGUUGAUCACUGAAAAUGAUUUAUGCUGCUUAAAAGUUCUGCUUAUAACUAGGAGAGAACCUGGUGCCUCUUCCACUUUGGAGUGGGGUUGAUGAAAGUCUUUCCUUCUCCAAAACUCUUAAACUAGUUCUUUCUCAAAACAGACUAUACUGAGUCAGCAAGUUGUCACCAGCAGAAGGAACUACAAACUUUAUUAACAAAGGUGAAUUAAUUCAUCCAAGGGGGUACUUGUAGUUUAUCAUUUACCCCAAAAUUUUGUGUUAGGUACCCUAUGAGUAAGCCUAUAAUUCCUGCCUUUGCUGUAUGAAUCAUCUGUAUGGUAGCAGGCCUGUGGUAAACAUGCUCAGGAGCUUGGAGUGUGGGAAGAAAAGGCAAAUAUCUCAGAGGGAUCAGCCUUUGUUAU